UGCAAGUCCUGUGCACAAGGUAACCAGAGC
rnacentral:piRNA from 2 species